GGCGCCUGAAUCUGGAUUAUAGAAGUCUGUGAUCUGCGGGGGCCCAAGUCACGGAAGCGCUUGGCUCACUGACGUCUACACAUGCACACAGCUGUUUAGUGCAGGGAUUGCCCCCACCACGUGUGCAUAUGCUCGGGGCACCACCAGCUGUGGCCUCAUGGGAUUCCAAGAGCAAAGAGCCUUUGGCCCCUAAAAUCAAGUUAGCCCCCCAUACCCCGUGCUCAGAGAGGCACCAACACCCAUUCCAGGCUGGAGGAAAAUCUCUUACAUGUGGCUCAGAGAGACAGCCUGUAUGGCCCAGUGAGGUGCCUUUCUAAGGGACUUUCAAGGGGGAUUGCCCAGAGCCACAAACUUCUGAACCCAACCAGAACCUUACACCCUUCAGGGCAGCUUGCCUCCAUCAUCACAACAGAGCUGUGAUGGGGCCUGAGAAGAUAUGUAACAAGUUCUGGUUCUGGCUGCGGGCCUUCUAGCCCAGACUAAGAGAGUGCCCGACCCACGACUUCCAGAAGUGCCACCUUCCUCGGUAACUCGGGGGAUGCCGAUGAGCCCAGCAGCAUCCUCGAGUCACCCAGCUCCUUUCAGACCCGUGUUCAGAUUUCCAGCUUGCCCCCCGGGUGCCCUGGUGGCCACUAUCCCAAGGCAGGCUUCCAGUUGGUUCGGGUGGAACGCGUUUCUUACACGGAGGGAAACCCUGGCACCGCCCUCACGGAGAUCUGCCUCACCCUUACCAACAGAUGAUUCCACGGCUCUGUUGUGUUUGUGUUGCCAUCGGGGCUCUCGUUCAUUGGCGCCCAGAGAAAGUCCGGACUGUUCCCUGGGUGUUGGAUGCCUGUGUCCGGAUCCAGCGCUCGUCUCCCUGCUCUCGGCUCCUCUGGUUCCCUGUGCUCCGUGCCCCUGCGUCCUCGGGCUUCCACUGGAGAUGAGGCCGAGGCCGAGAGUUCUAUGA
rnacentral:lncRNA from 1 species